UGACCUCAAAUCGGGU
rnacentral:rRNA from 1 species